rnacentral:lncRNA from 1 species
UUUUUUUUUUCCAGAUACCCUACAAUCAAAACCGGAGAUUAUAUUCUUUCUCGCUUUAGGCAACUUGCUGCUGAUACAGUAAAAGACAACAAAGCUGUUUAAGUAAAUCAAAAAAGUUAAAAAACUUUAAUUUGGAUGAAUCAAUUGUAUCAGAAUAGCGGAAAAAUCAUAUGUCCUACUUAAAUUUGUGUCUUGUAAUUUCAUUUUUAUUGAAAUGAAGACCUAUAAGGUGAUGUAAUAAAACUAUCUUUACAGAAAUUCGGAAUCGCCUUAUGAGUGAUGCUUUUAACAUUCUUGUUAUUUAUCGUUCUUCUUUGCUCAUCAGUAUU